rnacentral:rRNA from 1 species
GACGAACGCUGGCGGCGUGCUUAACACAUGCAAGUCGAGCGGUAAGGCCCCUUCGGGGGUACACGAGCGGCGAACGGGUGAGUAACACGUGAGCAAUCUGCCCCUCACACGGGGAUAACCACCGGAAACGGUGGCUAAUACCCGAUACGACCACUUCAGGCAUCUGAUGGUGGUGGAAAGUUCCGGCGGUGGAGGAUGAGCUCGCGGCCUAUCAGCUUGUUGGUGGGGUAAUGGCCUACCAAGGCAACGACGGGUAGCCGGCCUGAGAGGGUGACCGGCCACACUGGGACUGAGACACGGCCCAGACUCCGACGGGAGGCAGCAGUGGGGAAUAUUGGACAAUGGGCGAAAGCCUGAUCCAGCAACGCCGCGUGAGGGAUGACGGCCUUCGGGUUGUAAACCUCUUUCAGCAGGGACGAAGCGCAAGUGACGGUACCUGCAGAAGAAGCACCGGCCAACUACGUGCCAGCCGCCGCCGUAAAAC